UACGGGGGGAGCAAGCGUUGUUCGGAUUUACUGGGCGUAAAGGGCGCGUAGGCGGCGCAACAAGUCACUUGUGAAAUCUCCGGGCUUAACCCGGAGCGGCCAAGUGAUACUGUCGUGCUAGAGUGCGGAAGGGGCUACUGGAAUUCUCGGUGUAGCGGUGAAAUGCGUAGAUAUCGAGAGGAACACCUGCGGCGAAGGCGGCCAUCUGGGACAACACUGACGCUGAGGCACGAAAGCGUGGGGAGCAAACAGG
rnacentral:rRNA from 1 species